rnacentral:lncRNA from 1 species
UUUUCCUCCAGAUCCCACUGAAGCACAUUCCAGGCUGGUUAUGAAUAGUUAGAACUACUUCUUAGAGAACAUGCUAAAUACUGUGGUUAUAUUAUUUUUUUUAAUCUUCAAAAAAAAAUCUGCGACUGUCCAUGUUUUAUAGAUGAACGGAAGCUUUCAGAGGGUAAAGUCCAUCCUUUGCUAAGCACAUUGCAAUGAGGCUGACAUCUAAAUUCAGUGACAUUGCACUACUCGCUGUUGGUGUUUGUGCCACAUGUUAAUCCUACUAAGAGACAAGGAAGUGGGGAGAGGGAGAAGGAGACAGUCCUUAUGGAGGCUGCCCUGGGACUUACUGCCUGGAGCCCAUUGUGGCCUUUGUUUUAUCCAGAGCUUUAUUUCAUUGCUCUUAAAAAGCCACAGAAGAUUCUACGGCUUCAUGCUUGAAUUCCUUGUCAGUAUAUUAAAUCAGAUUUGUUUUCAUUAAAUUAUAACUCCUCUUCUCCAUCUCCAAAGAAAAAAACAUAUAACAUUGUUGAGUUUUUAAUCAAAAUAAUAACAUAUAUGUCUUUAGGUACUGGUAUUACAGAUAAAUAUUAGAACAAAAUAUUGUCAUACAGUGUGGUUAUUAAAAGAACCAAGAAUGUAAGUCUACAUUCAUAUAGAACUACACUUUACAGCAAAAUGGAUUAUAUACCUAUUAGUAAAACUUAACUCUUUUUUUGGUUAGUAUGCAAGGAUGAUUUCAUUCUGUUUAAGUGGACUAUAAAAGCAACAGUAUUUAUUAAAAUAGAAUUACUGCUGGGAAAUUUCAUGAACAAAAAGCCCUCUUGAAGGCCAGUGGCUGCAACGUAGUAAGUAACUGGGCAGUGUCUCUUCUAUAGAAGUACAAAUGGAGAACUUCAUGUACAAAAAGACACCAGCCGUGCAACUAAGUUCUUAAUAUUUACUAGAGACAGGAAGAUCACUGUUGCUGAGUGAGAUAAACUGAAGUCGACAGCCUUGCCUCAUCUGUCAUCCUGUCCUGGCUGUUGCCCCCUCCUAGAGGCCACUGUUUCAGCUGAUCCACAGUUGAGACUGUAUGCCCUGUAUGUCAAGGUCAGAUUUGGCUGGUUUCUCCACAUUUAGGAUGUAAAGCAUCAUUCUGUCAGGGAGUUGGGCGUCUUAAUGGCUUUCAGGGCUCUUCAGCCCUCUGUCAGAGAUGCUUUGAAUUGUAUAGAAAGGUAGUCUCGAGUUUUCACCUAACCCUGGGAUAUAGUGGUUGAUAGACAGCAGUAAGAGCAUUAGCUUCCUACUCUUGCUUCUCAAGGGAGGAACUGCUAUGGUGCCUCAUGGGCUCUAAUGUUUGGGUGAAGGCUGAAGAGUUGAAGGACAGGGAGUAAAACUGGAAAAGAGCCCCCUUACUCAUGAGAGUUGGCACCAAAAGAAAUGAGAAAAUGGCUGAUAGAAAGGUUGGAAGUUGUUACCUUUUUUAUUUGUUUUUGCCUCUAAAGAAAUACCAAAGAAGUUGAGUUUAUGCUUCGGGUCCUGCUGUACAUCUUUUUGUUUUGUUUUUCAGGACAGGGUUUUUCUGUGGAGCUCUAGCUGUCCUGGGCCUGGCUCUGUAGACCAGGCUAGCCUCAACUCAAGACAUCUGCCUGCCUCUGCCUUGAGUUGCUGGGAUUAAAAGUGUGCGCCACCACUGCCCAGCCUUGCUGUACAUCUUAACAUGGAAUUCACAAUUUACCUCUCAGUGUUUGUGGUUUUCUGCAUUCUCCAGACUUUGAAAGACCACUCACAAAAGAUUAGGGAAAAAGAGGACUUUUACAAAAACUAUUACUACAUGUGCGAGUAGUUAAAUAGCCUUUGAUAUUGGUAUUGGUGAUUGGUAUGCAGAAAAAAUGAAAAACUGUUAUGUCAGUUACUGUGAAAUAUUUUUAGUUAUUUCCUUAUCGUGUGCUUGUUCCUAAAAACAUUGGUUGUAUGUUAUUUUCAAGCUGUUCUGCCUCUAAGACGUUGAAGAAAAAGCUGUGGUGUUUGGGCUACCUUUAUUGUGAUGGCCUUCUUAUCCUCCUAAUAAUAUUGCCAAGUAGGGUAGAUUCCACACGAUUGCUCUUAACCCUUGGUAUUAGCAAAUCAUAUAGGUGCUAAUAACGAAUAUUGGAUACAGUCAAUACAGGAAUAUAAAAUGGAAUGUAAAAGCCUGUUGCUAUGAAUGGUUAGCCAUCUACAUGUUGUACAAGGAAUGUUGAUGUUAUGAAGUGUGGAAACUUGGUAUUGAAGAUGUGAACUCAAAGCUUUGUGGAUUUUUUGAUGCCAUGAUAAAAAUGUGAAUAAAACUGUUCCUUACCAUGACGGUGGGGAUACCAGUUUCUGUUAAACUGUUAUUUCUGAUGCCAACAGCAUUUCCCAGUGGGAUUUAGAUGCUAGCUAGUACUUGCACUUUGUAUUUAAGAGCUGUUCGAUUUUGUUGUUGAAGGAGUAGAACACAAAUUAGUUUUGUGCUGCCAAAAAUAAUUUGUCCAUCUGUCUCUAUAACACUGAAGACAGCCAGCACAAGAGCUCAGGCACUUCAAGGACAUUUUUGUCUUUGAAGCCUAAAGUUCUAUAAAAUUAAGUAGCACUGUUCUGGUGACUAUAAGAUGUCAAACAAUCUAAAAAUACAGAUUUUGCUUUAAAUCUGUAAUUUACUGUAUACAAAGGGAGGGGUAGGUUACAGCUUUUAUAAAAAAAAAAAGAACCUAUUUUAAAUGUUUCUUGAGGUCAGGGGAUCUCAGUAGGAAACUGCUUUUGCUUUGACUAUUUGUUUAAAAGGUAAAGAUGUUUAUUAAAUAUAUAUUUAACUGGUUUAGUCUUGUUUAUUAGAACUAUUUAAGUGAUAUUAAAAAAAAUGGCUAUUGCUUAUCUUACCAAGACCUGUCUAACUACAGAUGUUUUGUCUCUUCAAAUUGAGACCCUUGUCUACAAGCGCAGUUUAGAGAGGAAGAAGAUACAGCAUAUUCAUUUAAAUAAAUACCUAAGAGU